AGCUAGCUGAAGAGAACUAUUCAAAUUUACGUUAACAAACAUAAUUUGGAAAGUUCGAAACCUAGGUCCUAGAU
rnacentral:lncRNA from 1 species